rnacentral:rRNA from 1 species
UACGGGGGGGGCAAGCGUUGUUCGGAAUUACUGGGCGUAAAGGGCUCGUAGGUGGCCAACUAAGUCAGACGUGAAAUCCCUCGGCUUAACCGGGGAACUGCGUCUGAUACUGGAUGGCUUGAGUUUGGGAGAGGGACGCGGAAUUCCAGGUGUAGCGGUGAAAUGCGCAGAUAUCGGGAGGAACACCAGUAGCGAAGGCGGCACUCUGGGCCGGUACUGACGCUGAGGAGCGAAAGCGUGGGGAGCAAACAGG